rnacentral:rRNA from 1 species
GUCCGCACUGUAACGAUGAUUACUCGCUGCUGGGAGGUAACUUUCAGUGGCUUAGCGAAGCGAUAAGUAAUCCACCUGGGAGUACGCCGGCAACGGUGAACUCAAGGAAUUGACGGGCCCGCACAAGCGGAGGAGCAUGUGGUUUAAUUCGAUGAUACGCGAGGAACCUUACCAGGGCUUGAAAGUUAGUGACCGACUCUGAAAGGAGUCUUUCAGCAAUGACACGAAACUAGGUGCUGCAUGGCUGUCGU